rnacentral:tRNA from 38 species
GGCGUGAUAGCUCAGUCGGUAGAGCAACGGAUUGAAAAUCCGUGUGUCCCCAGUUCGAUCCUGGGUCUCGCCACCA